rnacentral:lncRNA from 1 species
ACUACUAUGACCGUAGACUUAAGGACUCAGCCUCUAAAAUCUCAUAGGACUACUCCUUCUGCUAGGAUCGAUAGAUCCCAUCUUGAUGCAUACCCCACUCUUAAAGUAGACCAACUGUCACUAAUAUCCACUACAAGGGCUCCAUGAGAUCCAUGAUGAUGUGUCAGUCAAACUCCAGCAGCCUCACUACGAGCAGUAGUGUCAUCUC